ACUCCUACGGGAGGCAGCAGUGGGGAAUUUUGGACAAUGGGCGCAAGCCUGAUCCAGUAAUGCCGCGUGAGUGAAGAAGGCCUUCGGGUUUAAAGCUCUUUCAGUUGAAAAGAAAAAGUCGUGACUAAUAAUCAUGGCUCAUGACGGUAUCAACAGAAGAAGCACCGGCUAACUACGUGCCAGCAGCCGCGGUAAUACGUAGGGUGCAAGCGUUAAUCGGAAUUACUGGGCGUAAAGGGUGCGCAGGCGGUUCUGUAAGUCAGACGUGAAAUCCCCGGGCUUAACCUGGGAACUGCGUUUGAAACUGCAGAGCUAGAGUGCGGCAGAGGGAGGUGGAAUUCCAUGUGUAGCAGUGAAAUGCGUAGAGAUAUGGAAGAACAUCGAUGGCGAAGGCAACCUCCUGAGCUAGCACUGACGCUCAUGCACGAAAGCGUGGGGAGCAAACAGGAUUAGAUACCCUGGUAGUCCACGCCCUGAACUAUGUCAACUAGUUGUCGGGUCUUAAUAGACUUGGUAACGUAGCUAACGCGUGAAGUUGACCGCCUGGGGAGUACGGUCGCAAGAUUAAAACUCAAAGGAAUUGACGGGGACCCGCACAAGCGGUGGAUUAUGUGGAUUAAUUCGAUGCAACGCGAAAAACCUUACCUAUCCUUGACAUGUCAGAAAAUUUUCAGAGAUGAAUUUGUGCCCGAAAGGGAAUCUGAACACAGGUGCUGCAUGGCUGUCGUCAGCUCGUGUCGUGAGAUGUUGGGUUGAGUCCCGCAACGAGCGCAACCCUUGUCAUUAAUUGCCAUCAUUAAGUUGGGCACUUUAAUGAGACUGCCGGUGAUAAACCGGAGGAAGGUGGGGAUGACGUCAAGUCCUCAUGGCCCUUAUGGGUAGGGCUUCACACGUAAUACAAUGGCG
rnacentral:rRNA from 1 species